rnacentral:sRNA from 1 species
GAGAACAAGGCCCAGGGGGCCCAACUCAUACACACCCAGAGAUGACACCUGAAUCCUACACACCACAAGGCUUCAGGACCAGUUUUCAAGUGAGAAGAGUGUCGCGUCCCCAGUUCCUCAGGAGCUGGAAGUGACAGGGACACCAAAGAGGGCAGCCACGUGGAGCCGCUCUCACUCACAGAGGUGGAGCCAGACCCCUGCUCCAACCCCCACUCAGAGCUGGGACACUGAGCCUUUGGUGCCCAAGCCCAUAGAUACACAGUGACCCCACAUCCUACCACGAAUCCUCUACAUUCACUGAGGUCCUGGAUGGCAAGUGACCAGCACAAAGCUUAGCACACAGCAAGUGCUCGGCUAAAGUCACUCCCUCGCCACCUUUCUGCCUGGGACCCCCUGCUCCCUGGCCUGGUGGCUGCUGCACUCCCCUGCUGUCCAGGGCUGCAAAGCCUCAGCGUCCUGGCUGUGCACUUUCUACACGUGUGACCUUCAACAAGGUACUUAGCCUCUCCGUGCCUCUGUCUCCUCAUCUAUAAAACAGGCGUAAUCCGGACGGCUGUGCCUGACCUGGACCGCGAGAGCCAGGAGCGCUACGAGGUGGUGAUCCAGGCCACAGACAUGGCGGGUCAGCUGGGUGGCCUCUCAGGCUCCACUACUGUCACCAUCGUAGUCACCGACGUCAAUGACAACCCGCCCCGUUUCCCGCAGAAGAUGUACCAGUUCAGCAUCCAGGAGUCAGCCCCCAUUGGAACGGCCGUGGGACGUGUGAAGGCUGAGGACUCAGACGUGGGAGAGAACACAGACAUGACUUACCACCUUAAGGAUGAGAGCGGCAGCGGCGGCGAUGUGUUCAAGGUCACCACAGACAGCGACACUCAGGAGGCCAUCAUCGUAGUGCAGAAGCGCCUGGACUUCGAAUCCCAGCCCGUGCACACCGUGAUCCUGGAGGCCCUCAACAAGUUCGUGGACCCCCGCUUCGCCGACCUGGGCACGUUCCGCGACCAGGCGAUCGUGCGCGUGGCCGUGACCGACGUGGACGAGCCCCCCGAGUUCCGGCCGCCCUCCGGCCUCCUGGAGGUGCAGGAGGACGCGCAGGUGGGCUCCCUGGUCGGCGUGGUGACGGCGCGGGACCCCGACGCCGCCAACCGGCCCGUCCGGUGAGACCCCCGCCCGGGGCCGACGCCUGCUGCCUGCUAUCCCGCCAUCGCCCCCGCGGACAGACUGCGGGCAGAGGGGAGGAGGGCUGGGGCGGGCAGGGCCGAAGGAGGGGGCUGCGUGGGGGAGGGAGGCAAGGAGAGAGGCGCACAGGGGUGGAGAGAAACAGUCACGGAGCCAAAGGGCCAAGGAAGCAGAUGUGAGAACAGUCAAUGAGACAGGCAGGGGAGCCAGGCCAAUGAGGGAGAGAACCAGGAGGGACAGACACAGAGGCGGGCACUGCACUGGCGGGGUCUCCGCGCUGCUGGCUGCAGCCACACUGGCUCCCUGAUCUCUCGACUGGGCCAUCCCUGUGCCCAGGACUCCCCCAGUCUUCUCCCUGCACCCCCCUUCCCUCUCAUCAUCUCCCUUGGUGUUCCGCUAGACACCUCAAACUUAAGUUCAGAACAGGGUUCCUGGUCUCUCCACCAAAAGAAAAAAAAACACCA